rnacentral:tRNA from 1 species
GGAGAGGUGGCUGAGUGGUCGAAAGCGGCUUCCUGCUAAGAAGUUGUAGGGUCCAAAGCUCUACCGUGGGUUCGAAUCCCACCCUCUCCG